AAUGUGGGGAGUUCAAACUGUAUU
rnacentral:piRNA from 1 species